GUACUAUACUUUAUUCAGAAGAUCUGGUUUGCAACUAGACAGAGGGUUAAACCCUAGUACA
rnacentral:tRNA from 1 species